rnacentral:rRNA from 1 species
UGGGGAAUUUUGGACAAUGGGCGCAAGCCUGAUCCAGCCAUGCCGCGUGAGUGGAGAAGGCCUUCGGGUUGUAAAGCUCUUUCAGCCGGAAAGAAAACGCACAGGAUAAUACCUUGUGUGGAUGACGGUACCGGAAGAAGAAGCACCGGCUAACUACGUGCCAGCAGCCGCGGUAAUACGUAGGGUGCGAGCGUUAAUCGGAAUUACUGGGCGUAAAGCGUGCGCAGGCGGUUUUAUAAGCCAGAUGUGAAAUCCCCGGGCUUAACCUGGGAACUGCAUUUGUGACUGUAAGACUAGAGUGCGGCAGAGGGGGGUAGAAUUCCACGUGUAGCAGUGAAAUGCGUAGAUAUGUGGAGGAAUACCGAUGGCGAAGGCAGCCCCCUGGGUAGACACUGACGCUCAUGCACGAAAGCGUGGGGAGCAAACAGGAUUAGAUACCCUGGUAGUCCACGCCCUAAACGAUGUCAACUAGGUGUUGGGGGAGGAGACUUCCUUAGUACCGCAGCUAACGCGUGAAGUUGACCGCCUGGGGAGUACGGCCGCAAGGUUG